CAGUCGCCGCGGGAAUACAGAGGGUGCGAGCGUUAAUCGGAUUUACUGGGCGUAAAGCGUGCGUAGGCGGCUUUUUAAGCCGGAUGUGAAAUCCCUGAGCUUAACUUAGGAAUUGCAUUCGAUACUGGGAAGCUAGAAUAUGGGAGAGGAUGGUAGAAUUCCAGGUGUAGCGGUGAAAUGCGUAGAGAUCUGGAGGAAUACCGAUGGCGAAGGCAGCCAUCUGGCCUAAUACUGACGCUGAGGUACGAAAGCAUGGGGAGCAAACAGGAUUAGAGACCCCAGUAGUCCCUGUCUCUUAUAC
rnacentral:rRNA from 1 species